UUUUUUUUUUUUUUUUUUGUUAAUAAAUAAAGAGUAGAAUGUGGUCGAUAUAAGGGUUUUAUAAAGUUUAUUGAUCUUCACGGUUGACCUUGGAGAUGUAUUUUACUCUCAUUUCCAUUUUUUUCUUUAUGUUUUCUUUUGUAAUGGUUUUCCUUUAGUUCGAGUUAAAAUGCAACCAGACAAUUUGAAUUUGAUUGCAGGCAG
rnacentral:misc_RNA from 1 species